GCCCUUGUAGCUCAGUGGUAGAGCGCGUCACUCGUAUGAUUUUCUUACUUGGCAGCUUCUUUUGAACUGUUUGGAAUUCUGGUAACGAUAUGACGAGGUCCGCGGUUCAAUCCCGCGCGGGGGCA